rnacentral:tRNA from 1 species
GGAUUGUGGUUCAGCGGUUGAGCGCUCGCCUAGCACGGGCGGGACCCGAGUUCGAUUCUCAGCACCA